GUGGGGAAUAUUGGACAAUGGGCGAAAGCCUGAUCCAGCCAUGCCGCGUGUGUGAAGAAGGUCUUCGGAUUGUAAAGCACUUUAAGUUGGGAGGAAGGGCAGUAAGUUAAUACCUUGCUGUUUUGACGUUACCGACAGAAUAAGCACCGGCUAACUUCGUGCCAGCAGCCGCGGUAAUACGAAGGGUGCAAGCGUUAAUCGGAAUUACUGGGCGUAAAGCGCGCGUAGGUGGUUUUGUAAGUUGGAGGUGAAAUCCCCGGGCUCAACCUGGGAACUGCCUCCAAAACUGCACGACUAGAGUACGGUAGAGGGUAGUGGAAUUUCCUGUGUAGCGGUGAAAUGCGUAGAUAUAGGAAGGAACACCAGUGGCGAAGGCGACUACCUGGACUGAUACUGACACUGAGGUGCGAAAGCGUGGGGAGCAAACAGGAUUAGAUACCCUUGUAGUCC
rnacentral:rRNA from 1 species